rnacentral:rRNA from 1 species
UGGGGAAUUUUGGACAAUGGGCGAAAGCCUGAUCCAGCAAUGCCGCGUGUGUGAAGAAGGCCUUCGGGUUGUAAAGCACUUUUGUCCGGAAAGAAAUCCUUGGCUCUAAUACAGUCGGGGGAUGACGGUACCGGAAGAAUAAGCACCGGCUAACUACGUGCCAGCAGCCGCGGUAAUACGUAGGGUGCAAGCGUUAAUCGGAAUUACUGGGCGUAAAGCGUGCGCAGGCGGUUUGCUAAGACCGAUGUGAAAUCCCCGGGCUCAACCUGGGAACUGCAUUGGUGACUGGCAGGCUAGAGUAUGGCAGAGGGGGGUAGAAUUCCACGUGUAGCAGUGAAAUGCGUAGAGAUGUGGAGGAAUACCGAUGGCGAAGGCAGCCCCCUGGGCCAAUACUGACGCUCAUGCACGAAAGCGUGGGGAGCAAAACAGGAUUAGAUACCCUGGUAGUCCACGCCCUAAACGAUGUCAACUAGUUGUUGGGGAUUCAUUUCCUUAGUAACGUAGCUAACGCGUGAAGUUGACCGCCUGGGGAGUACGGUCGCAAGAUUAAAAACUCAAAGGAAUUGAC